UACGUAGGGGGCAAGCGUUGUUCGGAAUUACUGGGCGUAAAGGGCGCGUAGGCGGGAUGGCAAGUCGGUCGUGAAAUCCCUCGGCUCAACCGAGGAACGUCGAUCGAUACUGCUGUUCUUGAGGAUUGCAGAGGAGACUGGAAUUCCCGGUGUAGCGGUGAAAUGUGUAGAGAUCGGGAGGAACACCGGUGGCGAAGGCGGGUCUCUGGGCCGUAACUGACGCUGAGGAGCGAAAGCGUGGGGAGCGAACAGG
rnacentral:rRNA from 1 species